GCAAACUUGGUCAUUUAGAGGAAGUAAAAGUCGUAACAAGGUCUCCGUUGGUGAACCAGCGGAGGGAUCAUUAUAAGAGCCUAAAAACUCGCUAUAACCCAAUGUGAAUCUUACCUGAAAGUUGCUUCGGCAGGCGGCCCCCGGGGGGGCUGUAGCCUGUAUAGGCGCCUGCCGGAGGAUACAAACCCCUAUAUUUUAGUGGAUCUCUGAGACCAAAGACAAAUGAGUCAAAACUUUCAACAACGGAUCUCUUGGUUCUGGCAUCGAUGAAGAACGCAGC
rnacentral:misc_RNA from 1 species